rnacentral:lncRNA from 1 species
GAGAGCAUGGAAGACUUAGGUCUAUCUGCCUAUUUAAGGCUCGAGGCGUUGUGAGGUCACUAUGUUUGUCUUGGAGUCAAGGCUUGAGAGAAUUUACAAUUUGAAGUAGGAAAAGUAUUCCUCGUCUGUUUUGUAAAUUGAAUUUAUUCUGAACUCAGUUCCCCUUUCCUGCCAUAUAGAUACCUUGAUCAGGGCAGCUUAUAUGAGAUAAAAAAUUCUAAUGGCAAGAUAGUGUUCAACAAUAAAGCAUAUGUGGUUAUUUGUAGAAGUAAGAAACAAUUUAUCAGUAACCUCAGAUCAGAUAAGGACCAUAAGGCAGCUUAAAGUCUUAUAGUGACUUUGCAUUUUGAGUGAUGAAAUGGUGGUUUGCUGGUGCCAGGAAGUAGCAGAUCAAGGUUGUGAGAGUCAUCAUCUUGUGGUUUGAGUUGAUCUUUUGACU